rnacentral:rRNA from 1 species
GAUGAACGCUGGCGGCGUGCCUAAUACAUGCAAGUCGAGCGAACAGACGGGGAGCUUGCUCCUCUGACGUUAUCGGCGGACGGGUGAGUCACAUGUGUAUAACCUACCUAUAAGACUGGGAUAACUUCGGGAAACCGGAGCUAAUACCGGAUAAUAUAUUGAACCGCAUGGUUCAAUAGUGAAAGACGGUUUUGCUGUCACUUAUAGAUGGAUCCGCGCCGCAUUAGCUAGUUGGUAAGGUAACGGCUUACCAAGACGACGAUGCGUAGCCGACCUGAGAGGGGGAUCGGCCACACUGGAACUGAGACACGGUCCAGACUCCUACGGGAGGCAGCAGUAGGGAAUCUUCCGCAAUGGGCGAAAGCCUGACGGAGCAACGCCGCGUGAGUGAUGAAGGUCUUCGGAUCGUAAAACUCUGUUAUUAGGGAAGAACAAAUGUGUAAGUAACUAUGCACGUCUUGACGGUACCUAAUCAGAAAGCCACGGCUAACUACGUG